GGAAGAACAUGAUCGUUGAUUUGACUGUAGAACUCGACAUGCAUGUCUGCGUCAUCAGGAUGUGAUCAUGUCGAAGGAGAGUGUGCAUUGUUAGAGAAGAGAAGGGUCCUCGCACACUCAAACAUCACAAGCGUCAGAAAUGAUGCAGCAGCUUCAUCAUCAAGCCUGAGUUCCCAUUUCUUUAAUCCGAUCACUUGCUCAUUCUCCCUCCAAAAGCCCUCACGAUAAAAGCUCACGAAGAUGCUGCCCUUCUGCCAACCAAAGCUCGAACAAAGAUGGUGUGCAGGUGCAGAAGGGAGAUGCCAAAGCAAGUCGGGAGCCCAACCUGUGCAUGAGAUUCCCAUUAUUAGAUGACAAAGACAAGCUACGGAAAGAGAACUACAGCAAGAUGCCCCCUCGCUUUCCCCAAUAUAUAAAUCCAAAUUCACGUGACUACGAGCUCGACAACCGAGAGAUGCAUUUCUCCUCCGGCCUCCUCCAUGGCAGCCCGCAUCAGGCUACAGUUGGCGUUAGAUCAUUACCUGUCGCCAUCUUCCCGAUUUGGAGCCUAUUUAAGGCCAUCAUCGCCGCACCUUAUUCUUCGGACACAAGCUCUCGGAGGAGCACUUGGAGUGGUGGGUGAAGGUAUAUGGGAAGUUCAAGGAGCUCUCUUUAGUCCAAUCUACGAGGGGAAGAGGGCACAUCCGGCUGCUGGUUCAUGCAUACCUUUGCGGUGCAACUCCCUGCACCACAGUGGUGAGCAUGCGCCAGGAGACGACCUUCCUUCCUUCUUCUCAUGCUUGGAUUGAAGGGAGCUCCUCUCUCUCUCUCUCUCUCUCUCUCUCUCUCUCUCUCUCUCUCUCUCUCUCUCUCUCUCUAGAUAGAGUUCAUGCUACUGAACUAUGCUGCUAUCUUUCAGCAUCAUCUCACAUCAUAAAGAUUGUCGGGAAAGAUAUCUGAAGAAAUAUGUUGUAAACACUCGAACAUAAUCACGUAUACAAAGUAGAAGUUCAACAAAGAUAGAUGAAGAGUAAACUUACACUUCAAUCGAUGGAAACAUUGGCAAUAGCAACUGUUCUACUAGUUUCAAAGCUAAUACAUGUACACGUUAAUGUUUUGAUAAGAAUGUUAUCGGAUAUAAAUGAUGCACGUACAGCUGCAGUAGUUGCUGGCUUUGGCACCAUAAUUUGACAGGUCUCGUGAAGUAGAAGAGAUUGGCUUCGUCCAUUUAUUUGCUGCAGUUUCAACCACAUCAACGACUCAACUAUUUCUGCAUUAGGGUUCUUGCGUCAUCCUGCAUGCUGCAGAAGAGCCGGAAGCCAGUCACCAACUCAAGCAAGAGGACCUAAAGAUGGAGCUUCCAUCUAUCAUUUGCUUUUGAUCCAGUUGAAGUGUACAGAAUAACUCUACGUGUAUAGAAGCUAUGAUUUGGUGAUGCAUACUGCCAUAUUACUGUUAAUAUCAUCCCAUCUCCUCACUAAUUUUGAUAUUUAAUCAUAUUAAUCUGUUAGUUUUGGAUGCUAAAUACACACAUAUAUAUAUACUACUAGUGGGUCCCAGUAUAUUCUCCAAUGACAAAACAGGUAAACGCGGCGGUUUAGACUUACACGUGGAGAACUUAUUAGGUUCAAAAAGAAACCACCUGCUAUAAUCUAUGGUUAUUAUUCCGUUGUUUACAACGAUCAUUAGAUUAAAUGAUAUUAAUUAGUUAAGCAUUAGCUACUUAAUUCUCGAAUUAUCUAACAUAAUAUUAAUUUAUACUCCUCCCCUACGUAUAAAACGAGGGCUUGGCGUUUCUCUCUCUCUCUCUCUCUCUCUCUCUUUCUUCUUGUGGCAUCGAGUCCGCCGUUUCUUUAUCCCUUCUCGGUCGUGGCCUUGAGGCGGCGCCGAUAUCCUGGAGAACCGAGUCACAGCGACGAGAGGCAUGGAUCCCGACCAGGCCUUCCCCGGCGGCGACCACAGCUUCGAGUUCGCAUUCGACUCCAGCAACGUCUCCGGCCGCGUGCUUCAGAUCGAGAUCAUGGCGGGGCCGGCCACCUCGAACGGAGGGACGGCGGCGCGAAGGAGAAAGAGGAAGCUGCUCUCAUGGACCUUUUAGGCUUUAUAAUCAGCAGAAGCAUUUCAACUACCUCUCCGACCCUCCUGGAUGUGUCGAUGGGCUGUGGAUAAGCUCGAGGUUGUUUCUUGCAUGCGGUAUUGUAGUCAGUAUCUUAGAAGCUUGCCUAUGACCACAGAAUCUGCAUUACUCUAUCUGGAUCUCCCUUGUAGCAUUUCAAUGGCCUCGGCAGUCCAGCUUUUAACCGAUGCAGCUAAGGAUUUCUUUGCUAAUAGUUUCAGGGACACAACCAAGUGUGUCAACAUUUAGAGGCAAGAAACACAAUCCAUAUGCAAAACUUUUUACAUAUUUUGUAACUCUGGAAGUGGAGGUUGGAUCAGCUUUACAGUAGAAUGCAAGUUUGCCACAACAUCGAAGCCAUCAGGAGCAUUUGUGAGCAAAUACAAAGGCUUCUAGGCUUUCACAGGUGUGAAGGCCGUGGGCUACAGGAACCUGUUUGCCAUACCGUGGGCUUCCUUUAUUAGCAAGGAUAGCCUCUUCUUCAUCGACGGCACCCUUUGGUAGGGAGCUGAUUUGACCAUCAAGCAGCCUCAACCUCCUUCCCUGCAGUAGUACAAGUUCUCUUGAUUGUUGGAUUAAAGUUUACAUCUCAUGGAAGUCAAGGUUGUCAUUUCUUGGAGGAGUAAAAUGCCAUAUGCUGUAAUGAUAACAGUAAAAUGUUAUAUAUCAAGGAGGUCAAGAAAUCUGACCCUGUAAAUGUCUCUGAUUUUUCUACACACCUCAUGGAAGUAUAGUCAAGUCUGUGUCACAGAAAUCCGAGUUUGGUGUGGAGUUCCAACCUAAUUUGUGUAUAUGGAAUUCUUAAUUCAUGCAAGAAUUCAUGAUCUUUUCAUCA